rnacentral:rRNA from 1 species
UACGGGGGGAGCAAGCGUUGUUCGGAUUUACUGGGCGUAAAGGGCGCGUAGGCGGUCAGCACAAGUCAGUUGUGAAAUCUCCGGGCUUAACUCGGAAAGGUCAACUGAUACUGUGCGACUAGAGUGCGGAAGGGCAACUGGAAUUCUCGGUGUAGCGGUGAAAUGCGUAGAUAUCGAGAGGAACACCUGCGGCGAAGGCGGGUUGCUGGGCCGACACUGACGCUGAGGCGCGAAAGCGUGGGGAGCAAACAGG